rnacentral:rRNA from 1 species
GAUGAACGCUGGCGGCGUGCCUAAUACAUGCAAGUCGAGCGAAUAGACGAGGAGCUUGCUCCUUCGACGUUAGCGGCGGACGGGUGAGUAACACGUAGGUAACCUACCUAUAAGACUGGGAUAACUUCGGGGAACCGGAGCUAAUACCGGAUAAUAUUUCGAACCGCAUGGUUCGAUAGUGAAAGAUGGCUUUGCUAUCACUUAUAGAUGGACCUGCGCCGUAUUAGCUAGUUGGUAAGGUAACGGCUUACCAAGGCAACGAUACGUAGCCGACCUGAGAGGGUGAUCGGCCACACUGGAACUGAGACACGGUCCAGACUCCUACGGGAGGCAGCAGUAGGGAAUCUUCCGCAAUGGGCGAAAGCCUGACGGAGCAACGCCGCGUGAGUGAUGAAGGUCUUCGGAUCGUAAAACUCUGUUAUUAGGGAAGAACAAACGUGUAAGUAACUGUGCACGUCUUGACGGUACCUAAUCAGAAAGCCACGGCUAACUACGUG